GACGAACGCUGGCGGCGUGCUUAACACAUGCAAGUCGAACGAUGAAGCCAGCUUGCUGGUGGAUUAGUGGCGCACGGGUGAGUAACACGUGGGUGAUCUGCCCCAAACUUUGGGAUAAGCCUGGGAAACUGGGUCUAAUACCGAAUAUGACCGAUACUCGCAUGGGUGUUGGUGGAAAGCUCCGGCGGUUUGGGAUGGGCCCGCGGCCUAUCAGCUUGUUGGUGGGGUAAUGGCCUACCAAGGCGACGACGGGUAGCCGGCCUGAGAGGGCGACCGGCCACACUGGGACUGAGACACGGCCCAGACUCCUACGGGAGGCAGCAGUGGGGAAUAUUGCACAAUGGGCGCAAGCCUGAUGCAGCGACGCCGCGUGAGGGAUGACGACCUUCGGGUUGUAAACCUCUUUCACCAGGGACGAAGCGAAAGUGACGGUACCUGGAGAAGAAGCACCGGCCAACUACGUG
rnacentral:rRNA from 1 species